rnacentral:rRNA from 1 species
CACUCUAGAGAGACUGCCAGGGAUAACCUGGAGGAAGGUGGGGAUGACGUCAAAUCAUCAUGCCCCUUAUGCUUAGGGCUACACACGUGCUACAAUGGGUAGUACAGAGGGUUGCCAAGCCGUAAGGCGGAGCUAAUCCCUUAAAGCUACUCUCAGUUCGGAUUGUAGGCUGAAACUCGCCUACAUGAAGCUGGAGUUACUAGUAAUCGCAGAUCAGAAUGCUGCGGUGAAUGCGUUCCCGGGUCUUGUACACACCGCCCGUCACACCCCGGGAGUUGGAGACGCCCGAAGCCGCGUAUCUAACCUUUUGGAAGAAGUCGGCGAAGGUGGAAUCAAUAACUGGGGUGAAGUCGUAACAAGGUAGCCGUAUCGGAAGGUGCGGCUGGAUCACCUCCUUUCUAAGGAGA